AAGAGCAUAAAGGUUUGGUCCUAGCCUUAUCAUCAAUUGUCUUUCAACUUACACAUGCAAGUCUCAGCACCCCCGUGAGGAAGCCCUUAAACCCUUCUCCAGGAUAAGGAGCCGGUAUCAGGCUCAACCUUUUGCCCACAACACCUAGUCUUACCACGCCCCCAAGGGUCAUCAGCAGUGAUAAACAUUAUUAAUAAGCGUUAGCUUGACUCAGUUAGAAAGAAGAAAGUUGGCCAACUUGGUGCCAGCCGCCGCGGCUACACCCUAUGGACUUAAAUUGAUGGUCAUCGGCGUUAAGCGUGAUUAAAGUACCCAUAUAAUUAGAGUAAAACCCUUUACCCAGCUGUGAAAAGCAUGUACUGCGGAAUUCCAUAAACGAAAGUUACUCUAACCUGAGACUUGAAUACACGGCAGCUAGGAGC
rnacentral:rRNA from 1 species